rnacentral:rRNA from 1 species
GUACACUCCUACGGGAGGCAGCAGUAGGGAAUCUUCGGCAAUGGGGGCAACCCUGACCGAGCAACGCCGCGUGAGUGAAGAAGGUUUUCGGAUCGUAAAGCUCUGUUGUAAGUCAAGAACGAGUGUGAGAGUGGAAAGUUCACACUGUGACGGUAGCUUACCAGAAAGGGACGGCUAACUACGUGCCAGCAGCCGCGGUAAUACGUAGGUCCCGAGCGUUGUCCGGAUUUAUUGGGCGUAAAGCGAGCGCAGGCGGUUUGAUAAGUCUGAAGUUAAAGGCUGUGGCUCAACCAUAGUUCGCUUUGGAAACUGUCAAACUUGAGUGCAGAAGGGGAGAGUGGAAUUCCAUGUGUAGCGGUGAAAUGCGUAGAUAUAUGGAGGAACACCGGUGGCGAAAGCGGCUCUCUGGUCUGUAACUGACGCUGAGGCUCGAAAGCGUGGGGAGCGAACAGGAUUAGAAACCCUGGUAGUCCCAUG